GAUGAAGAACGCAGCGAAAUGCGAUAAGUAAUGCGAAUUGCAGAAUUCAGUGAAUCAUCGAAUCUUUGAACGCACAUUGCGCCCCCCAGUAUUCUGGCGGGCAUGCCUGUCUGAGCGUCGUUUCGACCCUCGCGCCCGGCUUCUGUCGGGGGCGGUGUUGGGGAUCGGCCACACCCUUCAGUGGGAGGCCGGCCCCUAAAUUCAGUGGCGACCACGCUGUAGCCUCCCCUGCGUAGUACUAAAACCACCUCGCAGGCGGAGAGCGGUGCGGCCCGCCGUAAAACCCCCCAACUUUUACAAGGUCGACCUCAGAUCAGGUAGGAAUACCCGCUGAACUUAAGCAUAUCAAUAAGCGGAGGA
rnacentral:misc_RNA from 1 species